rnacentral:rRNA from 1 species
GACGAACGCUGGCGGCGUGCUUAACACAUGCAAGUCGAACGGAAAGGCCCUGCUUUUGUGGGGUGCUCGAGUGGCGAACGGGUGAGUAACACGUGAGUAACCUGCCCUUGACUUUGGGAUAACUUCAGGAAACUGGGGCUAAUACCGGAUAGGAGCUCCUGCUGCAUGGUGGGGGCUGGAAAGUUUCGGCGGUUGGGGAUGGACUCGCGGCUUAUCAGCUUGGUGGUGGGGUAGUGGCUUACCAAGGCUUUGACGGGUAGCCGGCCUGAGAGGGUGACCGGCCACAUUGGGACUGAGAUGCGGCCCAGACUCCUACGGGAGGCAGCAGUGGGGAAUAUUGCACAAUGGGCGGAAGCCUGAUGCAGCAACGCCGCGUGCGGGAUGACGGCCUUCGGGUUGUAAACCGCUUUCGCCUGUGACGAAGCGUGAGUGACGGUAAUGGGUAAAGAAGCACCGGCUAACUACGUG